GGGGGUCAGGGCGAAGCUGAUGCGCGACGCCGCGUGAGGGAAGAAGGUUUUCGGAUUGUAAACCUCUGUCUUCGGGGACGAUAAUGACGGUACCCGAGGAGGAAGCCACGGCUAACUACGUGCCAGCAGCCGCGGUAAAACGUAGGUGGCAAGCGUUGUCCGGAAUUACUGGGUGUAAAGGGAGCGCAAGCGGGGUGCCAAGUUGGGUGUGAAAACUAUGGGCUCAACCCAUAGAUUGCACUCCAAACUGGCGCUCUUGAGUGAUGGAGAGACAGGCGGAAUUCCCGGUGUAGCGGUGGAAUGCGUAUAUAUCGGGAGGAACACCAUUGGCGAAGGCGGCCUGCUGGACAUUAACUGACACUGAGGCUCGAAAGUGUGGGGAGCAAACAGGAUUAGAUACCCUGGUAGUCCACACCGUAAACGAUGAUUACUAGGUGUGGGGGGAUAGACCCCCUCCGUGCCGCAGCUAACGCAAUAAGUAAUCCACCUGGGGAGUACGGUCGCAAGACUGAAACUCAAAUGAAUUUGACGGAG
rnacentral:rRNA from 1 species